CAAGAAACAGACUUUGUCACCAGCACUUCGGACGCCUCCCUUGUGCCCCAUCCAGGCACUACCCGCCUCUCCAAGGGAAACCUUUAUCCUAACUUCUAACAACAUCAAAGUAGUUUUGCCUGUUUGGACUUUGUAUAAUGAAACCCAUGGUCAUCCCAAGGAAGCACGUUGUGACCAGGAGUUGGAAAGGAAAGGACAAGACAGCCUGGCUGUACUACCCAGGCCAAGUGGGGUUUGGAGCCAUCCCCAAAACAUUUUAGACUGUUGUUUUAGAGGUACCUGGAUUAUUUAUUGACUCUACUAGUUUGGAGCAAACUGACCCAGCCUCAUGGAGAGGAUGAGACCUAAUACAAUGACAGCCCCCCUCCUUUGAUCAGCCUACGUCUCUGUGAGGUAGAGGACAACAGACCAGCCUGCAGCGGAGAUGGUGGAUGACAAUGAGCAGCUUUGGAAAAGGAACCACCGGAGGGGGAACAAGAGGCAAAGGGCUGUAAGGAAGGAGACCCAACAGCAUCUUCCAACACCAACUUCUCUUCUAAUCUACUAGGGUGACCUGGACUGGAUUUCAUCUCUUUUUUACCUACUCCAUCUUGUGGGCCAGCUCCAGGGAACUGGCAGAGGAAUAGGCAAGUGGAGGGCUCUGCCAGCCUUUGAUUCCUCCUCUCUAGGUGCAGACGGCUGAUGCGCUCACACAUCUGAUUGUUCCAGGAAGCCCCAGGCUCUGACUGGAAGCUGCUCUUCAGUUCCUGUCUGAAGCAGCUGCACGAAUCCCACGAACAAUUCCCUACUUGUGAGACCUCUUCCCCCAAAUCACCAGGUUGUGUGAUAACUAAAAGGUGACAGAUUCUUGCGUACUGCCUGCCCUGCCCUUCUGGGGUCUUUGUGGGCCCU
rnacentral:lncRNA from 1 species